GGCCUCGUCACUCAGCUGGUCGAGCGUGCGUUGUACAGGAAAACGUAGGUGGCGUCCAUGCGUGGGUUCGAAUCCCACCGAGGCUA
rnacentral:tRNA from 1 species